AGAAGGCGUCAAAUGUUCUGGCCGUUUUGAGCCCAAGCGGCUUGCUCAGGGAGGAGAGGCCCUGCUUGCCCCAUGCACCCGGCAAGAGGGCAGCCACCUGCCGCCCUGGGGAUCGGGAGCAGUGGCCCAGGAGGCUGUGAUUCUGGAAAACCGAAGGCAGUGCUGGACAACUAUAGCUCUACGUUUAAGUAUUGUGGCAGUGAAUUACUGUGCAAGAGAGAACAUUCCAAGUGAGUCUCAAAAUAGAAUGCAGUUAAAUUGGCUCAGCUGAAGUGAUAUCUUGAAUGUUUUUAGACAUUUGGGAAUGGAAGAGAAGCUGAUGUAGAGACUAGAGCAUAGCUGCCUCAUUACUCUUGGUCUAGCCCAAGGUGACAAACCAAAGAAGGAGGCUCACGGAGAUCUGGAAAUAUCAGCCUGCGUUUGAUGGUUUCCCUUCAGCUUCACAGAACCUGCAGAACUGUAGUCAUAGGUUAACAUGGCUCACAGCGCUGGAUAGAUGGAGUCUUACGUCCCUGCACAAAGCUGGGACAAUCAAUUAGCAGGUCAAUCCAAAAUGAAUCCCUCCCAUCACCCUUUUUCCUGGAAUUACAGGAACUAGAAGAUUUGUGCCUUCUACUUGGAAAGAGGAGAGACUGGGAAAGAAAUCAAAAGGACAGCUUCAUCUCUGAGCUGCAACUGUGAGUACUUGGGAAGUCUGUGAAGGAGAAAAGCCCUAAAAGACCCGGCUUUGAAGGAGCUGCUGAUAGCCAGAAACCAUGGUACUUUACCACAGUGCUGCAUAUUGGAGCACAGCACAGAUAUCACCACGCUGACUGCAGAGGGGACAUGCAUCCGUCGGGAAUGGCGUGGCACCAUAAGGAGUCUCUAGCUUGGAUUCUGAAAGCAAAAGAACCACAGCUGUGUGAUACUGCACCUAAAAUACUAUGUCCUCCAUCUUGACGAUGCUCCUAGAACAUUAAAAGAAAAAUCUGUGGAAGCUAGCUGAGGGUUGUGCAAGCAAAACUGAAUGGCAAAUAAACUGAGCUCUGAACUUCAAACACGUGCAACUGGCCGCCUUCCUCCAGAACUGCGAGGGAAACUACUGAGGGAACUACUGAGGGAACACGUUCUCCUUUUUCACUAGUACUCUCAUCCAAAGUCCAGCAGUUCCCUGGCUCCUGCACAUGCAAACGUUUGAAUUUCCUGUUGGCCCAGAGUGCCCUCCCUCCUCUCUGCUUGACCACCUCAACCACUAAAAAUGGGCCAGUCUUGCCUCAGAAAUGAACAUGCCUGAAAGCCUUUUGCUGCAGAUGUGGCUGAUGGCGCAGAGAGUUUGUUUGCAUUGCAAGUGACAUCUGGCUGACAGGAACUUGGAGAAAUGGGAUGCGAAGUGAAUGCUGCAGUUACCACAGCAUUAUAUUUAUCAAAAGGUUUAAGCGAUUAUUAAGGCUGUGAAGUGCGUGUGAAGGAAACCCACCCUUGCACACCUCCCCAUUAUCCCCCAGCUGUCCUGGGAAGGAAAGGACCUGGAGACUGUUACACUUGUGGAGGUGGAGUUCAAAAAAGCAGCAAGAAGAGAAGAUCAUGGUGAAUCUGCACUUGCCUUCCAGUGGAAGUCAGCAUUGUAAAAUAGUCACACACAGACAUCAUGUCGGGCUGAAAUUCUAAGGAGACACUCCCUAUGAUUCAUGGGAGAGGAAGAAGAAAUAAAAGUUAUUCCACUACUGCAUGGAGAGAGUCCUAACUGCAGUUGUGCAGCACUGCUGAUAACAGGCCAAAACAGCAUCCUGUCAGACUCGUCAAAACUUCAGACGGAUUCACUGCAUUGUCUGGACACUGGAGAUCCAGUUCAGGAUUUUUAUAUAGAAGAUAGUACAGGAGGCAGAGAAUCUACAGCACAGGUGAUAGCGUAGGAUUGCACACAGAUAGCAUCCUUCCAAGCCUCAGGAUCGGGACACCCACCCUGUCUCCGUGACUGUGUGCCCUUCGAUGUGGCAAACGCAUCCCGAGAUGGCUG